ACUCCAGCCUCUGCUCUGCUCUCCUGUAGCCUUGCAGCCCUGCCACUGUGUCGUGCCCAGAGCACUGGGAGGAGCUCUUUUUAUAGAGUCAACAGCCAUGUAUUGCCCACAGGUGUGCAGUGAGCUAGUCAACCACGGCCAGGUGAGAAUCCUGGCCACAGGAACUCUCAUUUUAUCCACAAGAGUAUUCAAUGAUGUUAAUUGAAUUAUACUCUUUAGACAACAUAAAAUAUAAAUGCCAGAGUGUGAGAUUUGGUUUGUGUGUUAAUUAGUUAAUUUUAGCUAAUGCUCUCCUUUAUACUCCUUACUUAACACUUAGUUCUGGGUUCUUAAAUCAUGAGGAUGGAUCCUCCAGAUCCAGUCCCAGGGUCACCCUCUGGUACUCUCCUAGAUUUUCCUCAGGACAGAAUUACUUGAUCUCUCCUGGUUUUCUAUGGCAGUGACUCAUCCUGUUAGUUUGAUGUUUGGACAUCUAGCUUGAACUCUGAAUCUUUCUAAAGCAGGGUCUGUCUAUCUCACAUGGUAGGUAGUAGAGCAAAUGUUAUUAAAGUAACUAGAUGGCAAAAUUAAUGACUGCAGUCUGAAAAAUAUGAGAGAAAGAUAUUAAAAUUUUCUGUGAAGGAAUGAUUUUAUAUUACUUUUUUUGCAGGCUACUACAUACCGAAUUUCAUUACAUUGGCUCUCAUUCUGAGAAAACAUUGUACCAGGUGUCAGAACUCACCCAUAUUUAUAGGAAGAAUAAACCUUGGCCAUCAACAACAGCUUCUUUGGUUACAGGAUUACAGUAACUGCUGAGAAUGGGCAACACUCGUCCUGAGUGCCCCAGAAGCCCUGCUCCCCUGCUCUGGGUGCCUGCCUUCCUUCUGCCCUUUUCACUUUUAUUCUCUGACUUUGGCCUCAUAUGCUGCUAUUUGGCCUUUAGGUUUUCCUGGUGCAGCUCAAACCACCCUCACCCCUGUUGCCCAGAUUCGCUCUCUAUGCUCAUCUUCCACCCUGUGAUUCCUGUGAUGGGAGAAAAUACAGUGCAUUUAUUUGACAGUUGGAAGAAAAAACAACAAAUAAUCCGGCCCAUGCAGCUCCACAUACGAAGAUUUUCAAUGUGUUCUUUUGAACAGCGUGGGGAGAUAAAAACCUUGGCAAGGAGACUAAGAAUAGAGCUGGGCGGUCAUCUGAUGGCUCUUCUUAGUUCAGGAAAGAACGGCUGUGCCUUUGUUGAGUCUUUCUGCUGCUUGUUUUCCAUUGCCUUGACUUCUGCUCUUUUAUUUUCUCCUUCUAUUUCCUUGGGGUUUAUCCUGUCCUUCUGUUUGUUUUCAAACUUCUUAUAUCAGGCGCAUACUGCAACCCCAAUAUGUCCGUGACGUGACACACCGAGAGUUUAUGUACUCAUGCCAAGUGCACUGUGGGUAUUUCACACUGGGCAACAUUCCAGGGUGGUCCUCCCCCAACUGGGGACUCAGAGACCCAGGCCGCUCCUGUCUCAUGGUUUCUGCGGCUGGGGCUCCAAGCACACCCCGGCCUUCUCCAUCUGCUUGGCUGCGUGUGGGACUUGGGACAGUGAAACUGCACAGUUAACUUGGCUCGUAAAUGACAGUCAUGGCACAUUAACUGAAAGGGAGAUGGGGAAAGGGGAGUUGGUCAGGACUGAUGGACUCUGCCCUGUUUCCUAAGUUGGAUAGGUAGCUCAUUAUAAUAUAAUUUUUCUUUUCUAAUAUUGACAUUUAAGACUGUAAAUUUCCCUCGAAACAUUACUUGUGCUGUAUUUUACCAGGUUUCUUAUGUAGUUUUAAAUUAUCAUUCAAUUCCAACUGAUUUUUAAUUUCCAUUAUUAUUUACUCUUUGGUCCAUGUAUCAUUUUGAAUUUUUAUGUUUUUAUGACACGAUGUCUUAUACAAGACAAGAAAAGGGCCAACUAUAAAAGAGAAGAUUUAAAUUCAACUAUAUUAAAAUUAAGAACAUCAAAAGACUCUAAGGAAAGUUGUACUAAUUGAGAGAAGAUAACAAAUCGUAAGGUUUAGUAUACAUUAGUUAUAAUUCUUAACAAUUGGUUAGAGAAAGAUCAGUCUGAAAAUGAGCAAACGAGAAUUUUACAAAAGGGAAUGCAAAUGGUUUAUGUGUACAUGAAAAUAUACUUAUUAAUGUCAUCAGGGAAAUCAAAAUUGGAACCACAGUGAGAUAGUCCUCUAUACCUAAAUGGUUGGUAAAAAAGAAGUAACUAGAAAACACUUGGAGGAUGUCCUAUGAGGAUGAGUGGGACCUUGUAAGCAUUGCUGGUGUGAAGUUAAAUAUUCAUAUACUGUGUGACCAGCAAUUUCAUUCCUGGGUAUAUAUUCUGGAGAAUAAAAUGGUAACUACCUGAGAGGUAAAUGCUAAGAUAUCAAGGACUGAUCCCUUACAAGCUAUCCCAGAAAGGGAGCUGGGAUCUUGCAGAGCUCCAUGGAAAUCGGCUGUGACCAUUACUUAGGGCAAUAAAAUUUCAGCAAAUGUAAGGCUUAGGUCCUGAUUUCCUGGUGCUACUAGGGGAGGGAUGGUCUAGUUCCCUGCCAUGGAUGCAAAUGAGGGAAAUCCUGCUGCUAGUUGGCAGUGCCACUCAGCUGCAAACAGAACCCCUUAUGAUGCCAGGGAGGGCCUGGUGUUCCCUUAAUGGUGCAGCUUCAAAACCCUGCAAGGUUGAGGGACUUUUCCUAGAAUCUGGGUUGGGCUCUGUCAGAUGUCUGUCUACUGCCCUAGAUGACAUUGACAGCAGGGGACCUGAACUCCUGCUUAUUCUGAGUGUCCCCAGGAACCCUGUUUGUGCUGGUUGGCCAUCUGCCUUUGUUUGCAUAACACAACUUAAUGUCCAUCAACAAAAUCAUGUUUACAUUGUGUUUAUUCUUACAAUGCAAUAAUUUACAGCAAGUGCAAAUGAAUGAAUUAUAGCUGUUCACAGCAAAGAGAUGAAUUUCAUUAACAUAAUAUUGAGUGGAAAAAGCUCCAAAAUUCAUGUAGUGUAACACUCUUUGUAACAUUCUAAAACAGGCAAAAUUGAAGAAAAUAUUCUUUAGACACAACAUAGAAGUGAAGAGUGAAAAGAAAGGGAAGGAUAAACACCAAGUUCAGGACGCUGGUGACCUCCGGUGGGGUAGCCAGGAAGGAACUGACAGGUGGGUGUAAUGCAAUGGAUUGUUGUAUUAGCCCGGUUUUUGCCGAAGUCAGGGAUAAAUGUCUUGAUGCUUCAUUUGGUAGGUAAAGACUAAGACAGGAGAGUGGACGAAAAGGAGAAGUGAAAUGACACAAAGUGAUACAGGCUGAAUUGUGUCCCCCAGAUUCAUAUGUCAAAGUCCCAACCCCAAUACCUCAGAACAGCGCCAUAUUUGGAGAUAAGGUCUUUAAAGAAGUAAUGAGGUCUUUAGGAUGGGCCCUGAUCCAAUAUGACUGGUGUCCUUAUAAGAGGAAAUUUGGACACAGAUACAUGUGUGCCCAGAAGGGGUACCCAGUAAAGGCAUGGGGAGAAGCAGCCAUCUAUCUACAUGCCAGGUUGAGAGGCAUCAGACAAUACCCACCCUGCAGAUGCCUUGAGCUCAGACUUCUGGACUCCAGAACUGUGAGAAAUAAAUUUCACUGUGUAAGCCCUCCAGUGUGUGGUACUUUGUUACGCAGCCUGAGCAGGCUAACACACAAAGUGUGCACAGCUGUAUCAGCUACUGCUCCACGAUGGGCCAUGAAGGGACAGUGGGUCCCGGGCAGUUGUGUCCUGCUCAGUGGGGCUUCUCUGGGAAGCUGGAAGGAGGGAGGAUGAAGAGAGAACUUGUCUUUCAGGGGCCUCAUCUCCUGUCUCCCACUGAUCAGUUUUGCCCAUGGGAAGUCAAAGUCCCUGUACUUUGAUGGUGUGUCACUAUUCUCUGGAGGCUGCUCAGGAUGCCUGAGUCCGUGCUGUGCCAUGUGGCCUUCCAUCUGAGUCCAUAAAGGGCAGGAAGGGCUGGGAAUCUGGAUGUGCAGGUAUUGGCCUGGCUGUGUGGUUGCCAGUCAAGGUGAUACCCUGCCCUGAUCAGCCCGAGAUGGGAACAAAGUGGGUCAGGUGUGUGGGUCAGGCCUGGGCAGGUGCCGAGGCAUCUGAGACCCCGGUGGUGCUGCGGGGCUGGGUGGAAGUGCACGAGAUUCGUGUAGGGUCAGUAGUAUUCUAGUUCUAGGUUAGGGUAGUGGGUAUGGGGUAUUCAUUUUAUCAUUUUUAAAAUGAAAUUUAAAAAAGUAAAAGAAGGACAAGCAUAGCUAACCAGUAAUGAUGAUGAUGAAGUAUAAAGAACCAAAGAUUUAAUUAUGAUCAAUUCUGUGUUCCUGAAUUUUUCUGUACAAAAGAGAUUAGCAGUUGAAAUGCAGAACUUUUCAGUUCUGUGAAUCCCUUAGUCUUCCUUACAUCCAAGGCCUUAGCUGUUCCGAAAAACUAAGUUAAACCUAUCUGGGGGAGAGAAAAAAUCAAAUCUCCCAGUAAAAUUCAACUAUUAUAUCUCCGAUGACCAGUUUUAAUCAUAAGCUAUUAUUUCAGAUGUUAAAAUAAAAUUAAUGUACAAUACAUUGGUAGAGAAUUUUCUCUUUAAAUAAGGCCCGAUUAAACAAUUAAAUACGUGUUUCUAAUUUCCAAGGUUUGCCAGCUUCUUGCAUUUCCUUAAAAGAACUGUUGCUUAUGCAUGUUCAUAUCCCUUGUGAAUUAUGCACAUGGCUACAGCAUGCAGCUAUCAUGGAUUCUUAACUUGACAAACAUUCCUGCUUUUCUUAACAUUCCUUUCUCAUUGCCUCAAUUAAAUAAUGUACACAGCAAAACAUCUUUCUCUAAUUAUCUUUGCAGCAAUGCCUCAAUUAUUUUAUUAAUUGUGUAAAGUCAUGUACCCUGUGGUCGGCUUGUUCUUUUCCUUUGUAAUUCACUUUUCAUGUGGAAAAGAGUGAAAUGUUUGAUGCAUUGGUAGGAAGGCUAAAAAAGUCAGUCACGCACAGUACAGUCCUGGUCAUUGCAGGAAACAUCACUUUCAAAAGGGGACAAGGAUGACAGACUCAUAAACAGGUUAUUUACAAAAGUGUCAGCAGAUGCAGACUUCACAAGGGAUGGUGAAGCAUCUCAGGAUCAGCAAGGAGGACUGAGGUUAGGGGAGGGAGAGGUCCUGGCACCCUAGGAGAAUCCACUUGGAGAGGGGAGGGGAUGCCCAUGAAGAGCCAUGGUCUUUGGUAGAAGAUCACUGCCAUGUGGAGGAGGGAAGAAGGGAGAAAGGGAGGGAGGGAGGGAGGGAGGGAGGGAGAGGGAAUACGUGUAGUGACCUUUCUCUCCUUUCAUCAGUCCUGCUCCAUUGAUGGACCCAACCAGAAGCCAGAGGGCGGAAGAGCCCUGUUGGCAGAGGGUCCAUGGAGGGCAACUUCAUGUAGCCCAAAGCAGGAAUCUUUGUGGGGAGUGAGGAGUAGAUCUGAAGCACCCUCCCAGGGCAACUACUACAGCAGGAAACACAUUUAUAAUAAUUCUUUUUUUAAAAAUUGAAGUAUCAUUGAUAUACAAUCUUAUAUUGUAUUCAAGAAUACAACAUGGUGGUUCACAGUUACCCACUUUAUUAAAUCCUCACCCCAACUCGUGUAGUUACUGUCUGUUCAGAUGUUACAGAGUCAUCAACUGUAUGAUGCUGUACACCAUCUCUGUGACCAAGUUGUAUUAUGAUUGAGAAUUUUUGUGCCCCUUUAUUCCUCAUGCUCCCCACUCUGCAGCCCUUCUCUCCCUCAUGGUAACCACCAGUCACUUCUCUGUGUCUCUGAGUCUACUGCUGUUUUGUUCAUUUUGUUUUGUUUUGUUUUUAUAUUCCACAAGUAAGUGAAAUCAUAUGGUAUUUGUCGUUCUCUGCCUGGCUUGUUUCAUUUAAUAUAAUACCUUCCAGGUUCAUCCAUGUUGUCACAAAUAGCAGGAUUUCUUUCCUUUUUCAUGGCUGAGUGAUAUUCCAUUGUGUAUGUGUACCACAUCUUUUUUAUCCAUUCAUCUAUUGAUUGGCACUUAGGUUGCUUCCAUAUCUUGGCUAUUAUAAAUAAUGCAGCAAUAAACAUAGGGAUGGCAUAUAUCUUUUUGAAUUAGGGAUUUUAUUUUCUUUAAGUAAAUUCCUAGAAGUAGAAUUACUGGGUUACCGGUAGAAUUACAUUUUGACUGGCAUGAGGUGAUAUCUCACUGUGAUUCUGAUUUGCAUUUCCCUGAUGAUUUGUGACAUGAAGCAUGUUUUCAUGUGCCUGUGACCAUCUGUAUUGCUUCUUUGAAGAAAUGUCUGUUCAGGUCCUCUACUCAUGUUUUAAUUGGGUUGUUUGUUUUUUGUUGUUGAUUCAUAUGAGUUCUUUAUGUACAUUGGAUGUUAAUCCCUUGUCAGAUAAAUCAUUUACGAAUAUAUUCUCCCAUACUGUAGGUUGCCCUUUUGUUCUGCUGAUGGUGUCCUUUGCUGUAUAGAAGCUUUUUAGUUUGAUAUAGUCCCACUUGUUUAUUUUUUAUUUUGUUUCCCUUGCCCAAGGAGAUGUGUCCAGUAAAAUAUUGCUCAUCCUAAUGUUCAAAAGAUUUUUGCGUGUGUUUUCUUCUAAGAGUUUUAUUGUUUCUUGUCUUACAUUUAGGUCUUUAAUCCAUUUUGAGUAUACUUUGGUGUAUGCUAAGAAAAGAAACACAAAUGUAACAAAGUACCUUGCUCUCCCUG